AGUGAACGCUGGCGGUAGGCCUAACACAUGCAAGUCGAACGGCAGCACAGUAAGAGCUUGCUCUUACGGGUGGCGAGUGGCGGACGGGUGAGGAAUGCAUCGUAAUCUACUUUUUCGUGGGGGGUAACGUAGGUAAACCUACUCUAAUACCGCAUACGACCUACGGGUGAAAGCAGGGGAUCUUCGGACCUUGCGCGAUUGAAUGAGCCGAUGUCGGAUUAGCUAGUUGGCGGGGUAAAGGCCCACCAAGGCGACGAUCCGUAGCUGGUCUGAGAGGAUGGUAGGCCACACUGGAACUGAGACACGGUCCAGACUCCUACGGGAGGCAGCAGUGGGGAAUAUUGGACAAUGGGCGCAAGCCUGAUCCAGCCAUAGCGAGUGGGUGAAGAAGGCCUUCGGGUUGUAAAGCCCUUUUGUUGGGAAAGAAAAGCAGCAGGUUAAUACCCCGCUGUUCUGACGGUACCCAAAGAAUAAGCACCGGCUAACUUCGUG
rnacentral:rRNA from 1 species